AUGGAGACGCCGACGGGUCCUGCGCAGGCAGGCGGCCGCUUCCCCGUGCCGCACAGAUCCCUCUCCUUGGACAUCAAGGGCAACAAGACUGACAUUGUCAUCAGCAGAUACGAGGAUAACUUUCUGGUCAUCGUGACGCAGAUCGGAUGCAUGGGAACCAUAUUAGCUGCUAAGAAAGAUGAAAGUGUUUUCUCUGAUCCAACCUACGAUGUAUCUGUUCUUUUUGGGAAGAGGGAUGAGCCACUCCUGCUAGCUUGUGCACGUCAACUUAUCGAGCAUAUAAGUGGUAGUGGCUCAGCUCGGCCGUUGGUGAUCUCUCUUGGUUUGAAAGAUCAUUCCCAGGGAACAUUGAAAGAUGUAGUUUCUGCCAUUGUUGACAACCGCCUAUGGUGA
rnacentral:rRNA from 1 species